rnacentral:rRNA from 1 species
UACGUAGGGAGCGAGCGUUAUCCGGAUUUAUUGGGUGUAAAGGGUGCGUAGACGGGUUAGCAAGUUAGUUGUGAAAUCCCUCGGCUCAACUGAGGAACUGCAGCUAAAACUACUAAUCUUGAGUGCAGGAGAGGUAAGUGGAAUUCCUAGUGUAGCGGUGAAAUGCGUAGAGAUUAGGAGGAACACCAGUGGCGAAGGCGACUUACUGGACUGUAACUGACGUUGAGGCACGAAAGUGUGGGGAGCAAACAGG